rnacentral:rRNA from 1 species
AGAACGAACGCUGGCGGCAUGCCUAACACAUGCAAGUCGAACGCUUUUGGGGCUUCGGUCCCAAAGGAGUGGCGCACGGGUGAGUAGCGCGUGGGAACCUGCCCUGGAGUGGGGGAUAACCGAGGGAAACUUCGGCUAAUACCGCAUACGCCGGGAAACCGGGAAAGAUUUAUCGCUCUAGGAGGGGCCCGCGUCGGAUUAGGUAGUUGGUGGGGUAACGGCCUACCAAGCCUGUGAUCCGUAGCUGGUCUGAGAGGAUGAUCAGCCACACUGGGACUGAGACACGGCCCAGACUCCUACGGGAGGCAGCAGUGGGGAAUAUUGGACAAUGGGCGCAAGCCUGAUCCAGCAAUGCCGCGUGAGUGAUGAAGGCCUUCGGGUUGUAAAGCUCUUUCGCACGCGAGGAUGAUGACGCUAGCGUGAGAAGAAGCCCGGCUAACUUCGCGCCAGCAGCCGC